rnacentral:lncRNA from 1 species
GGAUUAUUUGAUAUGGUUUGAUAUGAUCAUUAUUCAUUAACCCUUCAGAGUAGUCAAAUGUAUCAGAAGGAGGUGAAUGGAGCAGAUUGAGAGGGAGAAUGUGAAGAAACAGCAGGUGGCGCUAGUGCACUGUUUUAGUUUGGGAUCUGCUGUUAGAAGGAAGAAGAAGGAGAAAGCAGGUGUGUUUGUGCUUCACAUUCCUGUCCAGUUGGUGGCGCUGAUGCACGAGAUCUGUUGUUAACUGGACUUUGAUUUUCUCCAAGAUGAAGUCGUGUCAGGUGACAAACAUCAAUCGUGAAGAUCGCACAGGUGUUUAACAGCGAUCACAAACCGGAAGUGUUUGAAAGACUUCUGGAUUCUGUUCCUGCAGCACAAGAUCGUCUGAACUACUGCAAGUCAUGAUGAGCAUCUGAUCGUCUUCAGAGACACAAAGAUCUCAGUGUUGAGCUGUUCAUCUGCAGUAUGUCAGAGAAGAGAGGAAAGAUGAGUCUCUCACACAAACAGAGUGUAAGAUCAAACUCACAUGUGUCCAGCUCUGUGUCUGUGAAGAGUGACUGGUCAAAACAUGAUCCACCGAGAUUCAGUGAAGAAACCCCAUCAGCUACUGAAAGGUAUUUCAUUUGGUUUGUAUUAUGCCACUAGCUAAUUUCUGCACUGGGGUAUCUGUGAUGGAAAUUAACUGAAUAAAACCGUAUAUCCCAGAACAAUAUCUGCUUUCCUUUUCAUUGAAGUAGGUCUGGAGGUUCUUUCCAGUAAUGCAGUUACACAAGCAGCAGCAACGAGGCAUAAAUUCACCAUAGAGACAUGAAUAUGUACUUCCAUCUGUUUAAUUACCAUUAACAUUUAUUAAUUUAGCUGAUGCUUUUAUCCAAAGCGACUUACAAUUGCUAUAUAUGUCAGA